GGUAGGAUGGCUGAGAAAGGUGGUAAAUUGUAAAUUUAUUUAUGAGGUAAAGGAUCUCUCCUAUCA
rnacentral:tRNA from 1 species